CACGUAGUUAGCCGUGGCUUUCUCACAGAGUACCGUCACCUUCUUCUUCCUCUGCGACAGAAGUUUACAACCCGAAGGCCGUCAUCCUUCACGCGGCGUUGCUGCGUCAGGGUUUCCCCCAUUGCGCAAUAUUCCCCACUGCUGCCUCCCGUAGGAGUCUGGGCCGUGUCUCAGUCCCAAUGUGGCCGAUCAACCUCUCAGUUCGGCUACUGAUCGUCGACUAGGUGGGCCGUUACCCCGCCUACUAUCUAAUCAGACGCGAGUCCAUCUGUAAGCGAUAAAUCUUUCAAAGCUUCCCCAUGCGGAAAAACUUCAAUAUGCGGUAUUAGCACAGAUUUCUCUGUGUUAUCCCCCUCUUACAGGUCAGGUUACUCACGCGUUACUCACCCGUCCGCCGCUCUCCACAAAAGACCUUCACCCCGAAGGGAUCAGUCUCUUGUUUCCCGCUCGACUUGCAUGUGUUAGGCACGCCGCCAGCGUGUCCUCGUAGCGCGAUCAACUACUCUAC
rnacentral:rRNA from 1 species